rnacentral:lncRNA from 1 species
UUUUCUGCAUUUGUCAUCGUUGGAGGACUUUCGGACCUCCGAUUUCGAUUCCGUAAAAAGCCACACGUUCAGAAAAUUAUAACUCAUACAAUACUCUAAGUAUAUCACGUUAAUUGGUAGUUUUAACACAAUUAAAUCACCACAAAUCCAGAAUACUCAUCAAAACCUAACAAUUCCAAAAUCAUAAAAAUUAAGGAUUUCAACCUAAACAUAUUUCUACCCAUUGACCCAAUCA